UCUGAAAAUGCUUGAAGGCCCAAACCAAAAAAUUAUGAUCCUGCUUCCUCUGAUCAGUUCCAGACUGGGCUCACACUCACACCUUCCUGACACAUCUCUUGAGUGCUACCACUACAGGCACAUGUCUCUACCAUCCCACGGAAAUUCCUCAUUUUGAAAUAUCAGGCAGCCAGACAAGGCAGCUAUGGAGACUGAGCUGCUGCUACUUAUGUGCUGGGAGCUUGUUCCAGACCGUGUGUGUUCUUUGGGUAGUGGCUCAGUUUCUGAGAACUCCCAGGGGUCCAGCCCCUGGUCAAAUAUGCCUCCAAAAAUCAGAACUGAAAUGGGACACCAGAGCUGGUAUGGUGAUGCUGUAACCCACUGUUGGGAAGACUGGGGCAAGAUGACUGCUGCAAGUUCAAGACCAGGCUGGGCUUCACAGCAGUGCUGGAAGAUGCUAUACAGGCCUUUGAGGAAAAAAAGACAUCAACAGUGUUCCUGCAGCUAACCCUACAUGCUACAGUACCAACCUGCCAGGCAAGAUGGACGCCCUGAUGCAAGAGUGGUGUGAAAGUUACCAGCUUCUGCAUUUGACUUCUAAAUAAAGAACAUGAUUGCUAAGCAUGCGUGCUGAGUUCCAGACAGCUUGGUUACAAAGGGAUGCACAGACCACAACAGAGUUUAAGGAGUUUCAGAAGCUUGAGUGGCAGAACAGGAUAUUGAUGAGGAUGCACAAAUGUAUCUAUGGUGGUAGAAUCAGGCAGAACAGGAAGUUGAAGAGGAUGCGCAAAUGUAUUCAGGGAAGAAGCAUCUUGAGAAAUUGGUGAUGUCAAGAGUUACAUCAGAAAUUAGAGGAGACGAGGCUGAUUGCUUUGAACCAUUUGUGAACGUGUCAGGUG